rnacentral:rRNA from 1 species
CGAAUAAGAAGGUCCCGCUAACUUCGUGCCAGCAGCCGCGGUAAUACGAAGGGACCUAGCGUAGUUCGGAAUUACUGGGCUUAAAGAGUUCGUAGGUGGUUGAAAAAGUUGGUGGUGAAAUCCCAGAGCUUAACUCUGGAACUGCCAUCAAAACUUUUCAGCUAGAGUUUGAUAGAGGAAAGCAGAAUUUCUAGUGUAGAGGUGAAAUUCGUAGAUAUUAGAAAGAAUACCGAUUGCGAAGGCAGCUUUCUGGAUCAUUACUGACACUGAGGAACGAAAGCAUGGGUAGCGAAGAGGAUUAGAUACCCUCGUAGUCCAUGCCGUAAACGAUGUGUGUUAGACGUUGGAAAUUUAUUUUCAGUGUCGCAGCGAAAGCGAUAAACACACCGCCUGGGGAGUACGACCGCAAGGUUAAAACUCAAAUGAAUUGACGGGGACCCGCACAAGUAGUGGAGCAUGUGGUUUAAUUCGAAGAUACGCGCAGAACCUUACCAACACUUGACAUGUUCGUCGCGACUUUAAGAGAUUAGAGUUUUCGGUUCGGCCGGACGAAACACAGGUGCUGCAUGGCUGUCGUCAGCUCGUGUCGUGAGAUGUUGGGUUAAGUCCCGCAACGAGCGCAACCCUCACUUUUAGUUGCCAUCAUUAAGUUGGGCACUCUGAAAGAACUGCCAGUGAUAAGCUGGAGGAAGGUGGGGAUGACGUCAAGUCCUCAUGGCCCUUACGUGUUGGGCUACACACGUGCUACAAUGGUAUCUACAACAGGAAGCAAGACGGCGACGUUAAGCAAAUCCUCAAAAGAUACCUCAGUUCAGAUUGCACUCUGCAACUCGAGUGCAUGAAGCUGGAAUUACUAGUAAUCGUGGAUCAGCGUGCCACGGUGAAUGCGUUCCCAGGUCUUGUACACACCGCCCGUCACACCAUGGGAG